GAAAUGCGAUACUUGGUGUGAAUUGCAGAAUCCCGUGAACCAUCGAGUCUUUGAACGCAAGUUGCGCCCGAAGCCAUUAGGUUGAGGGCACGUCUGCCUGGGUGUCACGCAUCGUUGCCCCAAAACCCUGUCAUCCCUCCGUUCAAUCGGAGACGGCGAGGUGCUUGGGCGGAAGUUGGCCUCCCGUGAGCAUUGCCUCGUGGAUGGCCGAAAUUAGAGCCUGUGGGGGGCAACCACCACGUUCCACGGUGGUUGAGCAGAUGCCUUGAGGCCAAUCGUGUGCGAGUUGUCCCCACGUCAAGGCUGCGAGACCCUUGCGAGCAAGUAAGUGCUCCCAACGCGACCCCAGGUCAGGCGGGGCCACCCGCUGAGUUUAAGC
rnacentral:misc_RNA from 1 species